AUACUUACCUUGAUUCGAGAACUCCAGCUCAAGCUUCGGGGUUUUCAGGGCAGGAAGCCUGCAUUGCACAGCGCGGCGCUGACUGCUCUUGAUUAUCCUUCGGGAUCGUCAGAGUCGGAAUUUUUGCUGUCACACAUCUGUC
rnacentral:snRNA from 14 species